rnacentral:rRNA from 1 species
CCUACGGGAGGCAGCAGUGAGGAAUAUUGGUCAAUGGCCGGAAGGCUGAACCAGCCAUGCCGCGUGAAGGUCAGUGCCCUAUGGGCGUUAAACUUCUUUUGUGCGGGAGCAAUAAUGGUCACGUGUGGCCAGACGAGAGUACCGUACGAAUAAGCAUCGGCUAACUCCGUGCCAGCAGCCGCGGUAAUACGGGGGAUGCAAGCGUUAUCCGGAUUUAUUGGGUUUAAAGGGUGCGUAGGCUGUGAGGUAAGUCAGCGGUGAAAUGCCCCCGCUCAACGGGGUGAAGUGCCAUUGAUACUGCCUUGCUGGAAUGCGGAUGCCGGGGGAGGAAUGUGUGGUGUAGCGGUGAAAGGCAGAGAUAUCACACAGAACACCGAUUGCGAAGGCAUCUCACGAAUCCGCGAUUGACGCUGAUGCACGAAAGCGUGGGUAUCAAACAGGAUUAGAUACCCGUGUAAUC